rnacentral:rRNA from 1 species
AGAGAGAGACAUGCGCGCAUAUCAAUAAGCGGAGGAAAAGAAACUAACUAGGAUUCCCUCAGUAACGGCGAGUGAAGCGGGAAGAGCUCAAAUUUGAAAUCUUCAAGGUUCUACCUUGACGAAUUGUAGUUUAAAGAAGUGUUUUCUGUUGGAGUUUUGGUAAAAGUUCUUUGGAAUAGGACAUCAUAGAGGGUGAGAAUCCCGUAUUUGACCAUUAUUUCAGCUUUGUGAUACACUUUCAAAGAGUCGGAUUGUUUGGGAAUGCAGUCCAAAAUGGGUGGUAAAUUUCAUCUAAAGCUAAAUACUGGCGAGAGACCGAUAGCGAACAAGUACCGUGAGGGAAAGAUGAAAAGAACUUUGAAAAGAGAGUUAAACAGUACGUGAAAUUGUCAAAAGGGAAGCGUUUGACACCAGUGUUGUUUUCUCGAAAAUCAAUUAAAAAAGGCAGGAUUUUGUGUUGUAUUGACUUUAUCAGCUUUCUGCACUCUUUUCUUGUCUUUUUUAAUGCACUUUUCGUUUAACAAGUCAACAUCAAUUUCUUUUGUUGUAAAAGGGUCAUUGGAAGGUGGCUUUCUUUUCGGAGAAAGUGUUUAUAGCCUUUGGCCUCUGCAAUCGGAGAGAUUGAGGUCUGCAGCGUAGAUCCUUCGGGGUUAGAUACAUUUGUGCUAAGUUAUAGCCUUUCAUAGACAACUUGUUGACUAUGAUCAGUCAUGUAGCUUACUCGCUUAUGCUAUUUUACCUACGCUUAGGAUGUUGAUGUGAUACUGCGAGCA